rnacentral:lncRNA from 1 species
AUGUGUACCCUUGCCCCAGGCCCGCCACUUAUCAGGACGGUGGCAGGCGGGUGGCAGCCAGUUCCCUCGGGUCUAGCCCGCCUAGGCCAGAAGGCACCUCGCGGGCACCCUGCAGCCUGUCUCUGGGCCUCGGCCGCCUGGAUCCAAGAGCAGUGGCUAGAUUUGGGGCCUUGGAAGGGACGUAUGGCUCCAUCAGAGAGUUUUUUCCAGCGUAAGACUCGCCAGAAAGCCCCAUCGUUUCCGCGCCAGGAGCCCGCAGGCCUGGGCCCUAGGCCUGCCUCAGUCACUGUGCAAUCUGUGAACCUGGAGGCCAGGGCUGAGGGCCGGCGCUCAGACCUCUCCCGCUCCACCCAGGCAGGGGGGCCACACGGCCUGGCACAAGCCACAGCAUUGCUGUCACCUCCCCUAGGACGACGCGUUCCAGAAUACACGCAUCCCUGGCUCCGCGAGCUUUGUGCACAUCCGAGCCGGUUUGAUGGCCUCUGGUGCCCUCAGUCAGGCACGCUGGGAGGCGGUUGCCGCUCUGCGUGUCGCAGCCGUGUCGCAGCCGUGUCGCAGCCGGGCCGAGUUAGUCGGCCUCGGACCUGUGCACACACCCCCUUGGGCUGGCGCAGCGCAGCCCUCCCCGGGCCUUAUCUUCAGAGGAAGCCCGGGCUGCAGGGGCCGCGCCCCAUUCAGCCCCACGGUCGGCAGGAGGCAGUCUCGGCGUCUGCGGGACCCGGGCUGGCCCAGACGCAGGGACGACGCAGGGACGACAGCUUCAGGAUAUCACAGUGGGGCUGUUCUCUGCACCGAGAAGAGGGUCAAGGGCAUCUGCAUCAGAGGAAAGUCAGGGCCUCACGCAGGCUGAGGCCUGAGGGUACCCUCCCACUCUGGGAUCUCUGGAAGGAAGACGUCCUCCCAGCAGGGGGAGAGUCUGUCCUCAGGUCCUUAAAAGGAGAAAACUGGAGGCCGCUGUGGCUGGUGGAGAGGCACGGGCGGGAGGGAGGACCCAGCCCCCUCCCCAACCUCUGCCCAGAGCCGACCCCACCAGGGGGACCCCAGACAACCUGUGUUCAGUGCUCUGUGAGGAGGGGUGGCCAGUCUCGUGAGGGGAGAGACUGCAGAGACACCAGGCCUGGACUGGGGGAGAGGCAAGUGGGGGCAUGGGAGGGAAACAAGUGGGGUGGGGAAGGAGCUUGUGUCCCCAUAGGUACCCCAAGAAGGCUCAGGCUGAAAGGGAGAGCUCUCUUCUGCAGGGAGAGAGAGUUACCCAGAACCGUGGCCUUGCUCUUCUUCGUACUCAUCCAAGCCCCCCGUGUGCCUCUGCCCCCUCGCUGGUUCCAGGCCGCCUUGGGACUGUAA